GACGAACGCUGGCGGCAGGCUUAACACAUGCAAGUCGAACGAGAAUUUGCCUUCGGGCAGAGGAAAGUGGCGCACGGGUGAGUAACGCGUGGGCACCUACCCUGAAGUGGGGAACAACCGCUGGAAACGGCGGCUAAUACCGCAUACGCCCGGUUUCAUUACGGUGAGAUCGGGGAAAGCUUUAUGCGCUUCAGGAUGGUCCCGCGUCGGAUUAGCUAGUUGGUGUGGUAACGGCGCACCAAGGCGACGAUCCGUAGCUGGUCUGAGAGGAUGAUCAGCCACACUGGAACUGAGACACGGUCCAG
rnacentral:rRNA from 1 species